rnacentral:rRNA from 1 species
AGCAAUACAAGGCAGACGGCUCAGUAACGCGUAGUCAAUCUACCCUAUGGACGGGAAUAACCUCGGGAAACUGAGAAUAAUGCCCGAUAGAACAUUAUGCCUGGAAUAGUUUAUGUUUCAAAUGAUUUAUCGCCAUAGGAUGGGACUGCGGCCUAUCAGUUUGUUGGUGAGGUAAUGGCCCACCAAGACUAUUACAGGUACGGGCUCUGAGAGGAGUAGCCCGGAGAUGGGUACUGAGACACGGACCCAGGCCCUAUGGGGCGCAGCAGGCGAGAAAACUUUGCAAUGUGCGAAAGCACGACAAGGUUAAUCCGAGUGGUUUCUGCUAAAGAAACCUUUUGCCAGUCCUAGAAACACUGGUGAAUAAGGGGUGGGCAAGUUCUGGUGUCAGCCGCCGCGGUAAAACCAGCACCUCAAGUGGUCAGGAUGAUUAUUGGGCCUAAAGCAUCCGUAGCUCGUUUUGUAAGUUUUCGGUUAAAUCCAUACGCUCAACGUAUGGGCUGCCGGGAAUACUGCAUAACUAGGAAGUGGGAGAGGUAGACGGUACUCGGUAGGAAGGGGUAAAAUCCUUUGAUCUAUUGAUGACCACCUGUGGCGAAGGCGGUCUACCAGAACACGUUCGACGGUGAGGGAUGAAAGCUGGGGGAGCAAACCGGAUUAGAUACCCGGGUAGUCCCAGCUGUAAACUAUGCAAACUCAGUGAUGCAUUGGCUUGUGGCCAAUGCAGUGCUGCAGGGAAGCCGUUAAGUUUGCCGCCUGGGAAGUACGUACGCAAGUAUGAAACUUAAAGGAAUUGGCGGGGGAGCACCACAAGGGGUGAAGCCUGCGGUUC